rnacentral:rRNA from 1 species
UACAGAGGGUGCAAGCGUUGCUCGGAAUCAUUGGGCGUAAAGGGUAGGUAGGUGGUCUCAUUUGUCUGGGGUGAAAGCCCGGGGCUCAACCCCGGAACAGCAUUUGAAACUCUCUAUCUAGAGGGUGGUCGGAGAAACGGAAUUCCACAAGUAGCGGUGAAAUGCGUAGAUAUGUGGAAGAACACCAGUGGCGAAGGCGGUUUUCUAGAUUACUCCUGACGCUGAGGCGCGAAAGCUAGGGGAGCAA